GAAUCAUCGAAUCUUUGAACGCACAUUGCGCCCCUUGGUAUUCCGGGGGGCAUGCCUGUUCGAGCGUCAUUAACACCCCUCAAGCCUGGCUUGUCCAUGGCCUCACGUCGUCCCGGGUCCCGGGACCGACGGGGCUGAAAAGCAGUGACGGUCGGGUCCGACUCCAAGUGCAGUACGAUUACCAAAAUCACCGCUUUCGAGUUCGGGCCGCCAGACCUGUCCUUUACGAGGUCGCCCCUUCGGGUCCUUUAUUUUUCAAUGUUGACCUCGGAUCAGGUAGGAAUACCCGCUGAACUUAAGCAUAUCAAUAAGCGGAGGAAAAGAAACCAACAGGGAUUGCCUUAGUAACGGCGAGUGAAGCGGCAACAGCUCAAAUUUGAAAUCUGGCCUCCUUCGGGGUCCGAGUUGUAAUUUGUAGAGGCAGUUUCGGGUACGACCCCGGUCUAAGUUCCUUGGAACAGGACGUCAUGGAGGGUGAGAAUCCCGUGUGGGACCGGUGGGCACGCCCAUGUGAAACGCCUUCGACGAGUCGAGUUGUUUGGGAAUGCAGCUCAAAAUGGGUGGUAAAUUUCAUCUAAAGCUAAAUACCGGCCAGAGACCGAUAGCGCACAAGUAGAGUGAUCGAAAGAUGAAAAGCACUUUGAAAAGAGAGUUAAAAAGCAUGUGAAAUUGUUGAAAGGGAAGCGCAAGCAACCAGACUCGCUGCCGGGUGUUCAGCCGGGGUUUUCCCCGGUGCAUUCGCCCGGUCUCGGGCCAGCAUCGGUUCGGGCGGCCAGAUAAAGGCCUCAGGAAUGUAGCUUCCCCUCGGGGAAGUGUUAUAGCCUGGGGUGCCAUGUGGCCCGCUCGGACCGAGGGACGCGCUUCGGCACGGAUGCUGGCGUAAUGGUUGUUGCGGCC
rnacentral:rRNA from 1 species